ensembl:lncRNA
AAAAAACAGGAGGAGUCCCAGGAAUUAUUAGAAAAAUAUGGUUUUCAUUUAUUUAACCCCAAAAAUUAUAUUUACAAAAGUAAUAAAUGUUGAGCUCAUAAAAGAGGUCAAAGAAACAAAACUGAACUCAGGCAAGGACUGCAAACUCAACAAACCAAAUGACUGCCCAAACAAACAUAAUUAACCUAAACAUGAAAUGACACACAGGGGUAUAUAUAAUGGCUGAUCAGACCAUUGUGACACAUGAGGGGUAACAAACAAACACAAUUAUAAAUCACAACAUAAUGCAGUACAAUCUAGUUUGUUAAUAAACUAAACACUAAAGAAGAAAAUCAAAACCAUUAAACCCUAAACUCAAAUAUUUAAUUAAAUAGAAAUACUUUGUUUUUAAAUUAAAGAAAACACACAUUCUCUCCUUCAGUAGGAAGUGGUGGUGUGGUCCAAUUAUCCCUCUUUGCAUUUAAUGGUUUCAAACCCCAGCUACCAUCUUUUGUCCAGCAACUCCCAGGGAUGAUGGCAGGUAAGAAAUAAAAAGACAAAGGUUAGUCAAAAAUCAAAGUAAUGAAGUGGUAUGAAUACAUAAGUAAACUAAAUGUGCGCGCUUACAAAUAGAACAAAUGUAUCCAAACCAAAAAGUUAUUGGGAACUAAAGUGUGUUACUACAUUCAAAUGAAGAAAUGAAAAUACAAGAGUUACUGACUUCAGAGUGUGGCCACGGGUUUGGCCAUCACACUCUCCAAAAAAAGUCAUGAGAUUUUAUUGAAUAUAGACAGAGUAAUGAUUCAGAGCAUCUACUGUAACUACAGACCCUUCAUUCCUUUUUGUCUGACCACUUUAAAUCCAUUACCCCAACAGCCACGAUGUUACUGGAAUAUGAUCCCUGGAUGACUCCCAAGGUAAUUGCUUGUCAAGUGGCAUCCCUGGUUUCCUUACAAGGUAAACAAAAACAGGAGACAGCAGACCAGUGUACAGAACUGAAGAAACAAUGAUGAUAUUUAGAAAUGGGGCUAAUGGAGACAGAGUAGCAGAGCAGAUGCUCUGUGCACAGUCGGGACAGUGUCACACGGGACAAACAAACGUGGUCAGCCUUUGUCAGACUGUCAGCUUUCCAGGUCUGUGGAGUGUCUGCUGAUUAAAAUAAUACUUAAGGCCUUAUUAUUUCUCUAUGUGUGUGUGUGUGUUUGUGUGUGUGUGAGAGACCAUGUACACGACAGAGGAAAUAAAGUGUUUAUCUAUUGCAGAACACAGGAGAGGUUUCUUCAGAAUUUCGAGAGAAAGCUUCAUCAGCGUCCACCACUGCUAUAUGCACGUCAUCCAGGUUGUCUGUUUUUACCACUAGUUUCUUUCCUUUCCCUGUCUCAUGUCUCAUUCCACAUCCUUUCUCAUCUUCUCUGCUCCUGUGCUCUUGCUAUGCUUUUUUUCCCUUUCUUUUCUAUUCUUUUCUUUUCCUGCCUUUCCUCUCCUCUCCUUCUGCUGAUACUCCCAGGCUUCAGCUCUUUCAGAUCGACGUCACAGAUAAAGAGAUGAAAGCUUCCAGCCGCAGAGCAGCAAAAGGCAAACUUCUUCAUGUGGUUCUGACCAAGACCCUGGGAACUGUUGUUCUUUCAGCACUGGCUCCAUAAGACAGAUUGACCUCCCCUUCAUAUCCUCUAUUUGUAGGCGGGUGCUUGUGUGUUUGAGUGGGAGAUUUGAUACUAAGCUUUGAUGCAGCAGAGGGCUGACACAGGUGGGCUGUGCUUCUUCUUCCCCUCACUGACCCAUUAACUCUCCUGGGAAGAAAAACAGAGUGAAAACGAGUGAGAUGAGUGUGUUGAAUUAAUUUUAUGUCAGUAAUUAAGCAAACUCCAGUGUAAACUCCUCCAGUGGUAUAGUGGCUGAUGUAUUUGCUUGGCAAGAAAAGGGUGCUGCUUUGAUUCUAGCCAAAGACACAAAUCCUUCUUUCAGGAAGGGCAUCCGGUGUAAAACUCAAUCUAAAUCAAACUUACAACACCUUGAUUCCUUUUUAGCCAUUCUGUUGUAGAUUUGCUGCUGUGCUGUGGGCUCAUUGUCCUCUUGCAUAACCCAAUUUAAAUUGUCCUCACAUUUGAGUCUAAAAUACUUGGGUAUUCAGAGGAGUUCAUGGUUGACCUGCUGCCCAGGUCCAUGCGGCUACAAAAUAAAUAAUGCUCAAAUCAUCACCCUCCACCACUGUGCUGGACAGUUUUAUCAGGUGUGUGUGCUGAUAUGCUAUGCUUAGUUUUCUCACAACAUGGUACUGUGCAUUAUGGACAAACUCUCCACUUUUGUUUUGUCUGUCUUAAACACAUUGUUCUGCAAAUCUUGUGGGGCUUUUUUUUUUCAAAAGCAGCAUUGCGAACCUAAGUAUGGGCAGUAGCAAUUCCUUUUUAAAGAAGGAAUUGUUGUAGAAUUGUCACUGACAUUUUUCCUAAUUGGCAUUGUGUUAACACACAGUUGCUUGAGUGUAAUUAUUAAACAGAAAGCACUUAGAUGUAGAAGAAAAGUCUGUAUGUGAAUAGGGGAAUGAGAUAUGUUGUAUAAACAUGUCUCAUAUAAGAGCCAGUUAUUUACUUCGGCUAACUAUGAUCAAAUGCACCUAGCUGCAACUUAUCCUCCUAAUGCCUGCGGUAGCAGUAAGUGUGGACUUUCUCACACAAUGCAUUUUGGCUUAGUUAUGACAAUCUAAGGUUGUAUUUACCUAAUCUUAAAAUCUGCUAAUGGCCAUACUAGCUUUAUGAUAAUCUGUUACAUUAACCAUUAGGAUUUAAACAGAGUGCAGUUUUUUGUUUUGUUUUUUUUACCACGACUUCUAGAGAAGGUCUUCCUUAUUUCAGCAAGAUAACAACAAACCACAUUUUGUAUGUAUUCCAACUGCACAGAUCCAUUUAAAAUGAUUUAUUACAGCAGAACAACAUAGUGGGAGUUGAGAAAUUAUCCUCACCUCAAAGAGGCACCAUGAGGACAGCAGGAGGUGAUGUCAGUGGGAGAGGAAUGUAUUUUUCCAACUGUCAGACCUGUGACCUUUACAAUAAUACAGAUUCUUCAGUCUUA